AGGGUGAUGGUGAAAUGGCAGCCACGGAAGCCUUAAAGCCUUCUGUCGCAAGACGUGCGGGUUCAAGUCCCGCUCACCCUA
rnacentral:tRNA from 1 species